AAUUGUUUUAAUCAUACAUUUUUUUUUUAAUCUACCAUCUUUAUACAUUUUCACUGAUUUGAAAGUUUCGAAUCGAAAAAUUUCAAUCCUAUCUUCCCUGAUUGCAGGUACAUUUACAGCAAUUUGCACCAAGAAUGGUGCGUAAAUUUCACCAAACCCCUAUCAAUAUUCCGUUGACAUAUUGGCCGAAAGAGAGAAUCAAGUAUUUCCCUAGCAAACUUAAUUAAUUGAAGUGAAUACGCAAUUUGGAAAUUAAUUAACAUCAGAGAGGAAUCGAAUUCGAAAAAAUGGAGGUUAGACAGAGAGAUAGAAUACAUGGAUCGACAACCAGACCAAUUUUCCAAAUUUCAUCCCCCCCUUUCAUCCUUUGGUUGUCGCCUGAUGGUAUCUACCGAUCGAUGUUAAUUAACAUUUGUACGUCUGAAUCGGAGACAAACGAGCAAGCACCACGAGAAUGAAUUCAAUUAAUUCUCGGACGUUGUCCGGUGUUAAUUAAUGAAUCGGCCACGUGACGAAUGGAAAAUGCAUUUAGAAGAAAGGAAAAAUUCCGUGGAAUAAGUGUGGACUAAUGUUUUUCGAUCAGUAUUAUCAAAUUGAAGAAUAACGAAUGGAAGUUUCGUCACUUUUAUCGAUAAUCGAGAAACAAGAUUUCAAUUAUUCUACGAUUCUUUUGUAUUUUAAAUUCCAUCAUCAAAUAAAUUUUUAAUUCUAAAGAAGAAUCAAGAAUAUAAUUCAACGUGAUCGUGACACGAUACGAAGUAAACAUCAAAUGAGUAGAUUUUCGACUUGAAAAAACAACCAAGGAUAACAAAACAUUGGAAGAAAUCGAAAACGAAGAUAGUCCAUUGGUGCGCGAUGCUUGUGAUAAUUGGAGAAAAGAAGCGACAAUAAAACGUGGAUGAGUUGACUUUCGUGUUGGAAAAAAAUCGAUCGAUCGGAAAUUCCCGGAAGCGGAAACUCGUUCCACGCGCGAGCUCGCGGUACGGCUCGACAAUUAACUCUCUGCCGGAUUUUCCACCAAUUUCCUGGCUGAAUUAAUCACCGCUGGCCGGUAUCAACGCUCGAAAUUUGGAGCGGCGCCGGUUAAACGCGAUCCGGAGACGUAAUUGCAACGAGCCGGAUAGAUUAUGCGACUGUUCUGUACGCCGGCCACCUUUAUUAUGCCAUUCCCUUCGUCUCUUUACAUCGAUUUUCUCCACUUUCCAACCCAAUUAACCAAAAAUUUCCUACGCCUCCCUUUUCUCCCUCUUUCCUUCUUUCUUAUGGACUUUUCAGCAAUUUUGAAAGGAACGAACGAAAUGAACGCAGUGGAGGGCCUGACGAAGCUGUGUUCGAUUCGAAAUCGAAGAGCUUGUUGCGUCUCUCCUUGAGAAAUUCUUGAAAAAGUUGGUAAAAGGUACGAAGUAUUCUUAAUCUCGAAAGUUUUGUCCAAUCUCGUUAUUAAACUUAAAUUUUAAUUUUUAGAAACAAGAGGAUCCAUCGAUUUUUAUCCGUCGAGUGAAAAAAUGGAUUCAUCCUCGUGUCAAAAGAGCGAUUCAAUGUUUGGUGUAAUUCACGUAUAUUUACCUUCGACUUCGUUCGACAAAUCCACUUUUCUACAAAUUUUAAUUGUCUCCGGAAAGAAAAGAAAAACUAAAAACUUCUCACGAGUUGGAAAAAGUUUGUUCGAUCCUCGAGAGAUUCGAUUCCUCUCGUUGAGCACCACCAGGUUUUCACGGGGGAAAAAUCGGGAAAUUACUCGAGAGUCCAGUGAUUCUCGACCACCUUGGAUCUUUAAUUCCACUCCUGUUAAUAAUGCAAGUGUCGUAGUCGAACUUGGAAUUUCAUUAUCUGGCGAGAGUACUUUGUUUCGUUGCGUGAAAACGAGAGAAAGGGCGGAAGAAAAAUAAAAGAUUGGAAUUUAAUCGGAAUUCUUCGAUCGUCGCGUGGAAAAAUUGUGAUUCUGAAGAUUUUGCACUACGUUCAAAUCUUCUUUCGAUUAUCGAUAAAGCGGAAAAACGAAAUUGUUAUUCGUCGAUUUGGUUGUAUCAUAGUUGGAUAAUUGUUAUUUAAAUUUAUUCCUAAUGGAUACGAAAUGUAAUGUUUAUAUAUUAUCCAUUCUAGCGAUAGAAACAAAUACAAAAGAUAUAUUGGUAUACAGAAAUAUCGUGAGGCUUGUUUAUCAAAUUAAGAAAAAAGUUUCAUCAUAGACAUUUGUGUGUUCAAUAUUACCUCCAGAUGAACUCCAAAAAGCUAGUUAUUUAUUCAAAAGAUUGCAAGAUAUUUACUAAAACGUAAAAUAAGUAGAGAAUAAUUAAUUACACGAUCCCGAAGAAAAAAAAAUUGCAAUAAUAAUUAUCGAUAUUAAAGACCAUUCCAUAAAUUUUCCAUUCACCAAUGGUAUUUAAAUUGUUAAUUGAUUAACAAUUGUCACACGAGACUUUCGAUAAAUCUAUUGCGAACUCGUCCAAUUGGAAAUUUAAAUUAUUCAUAAAAUGCAAAUGGCAUCAAGUUUCUUCGAGGCUCCCUCUAUUGAGAACUUAAGCCGCGCGGGAUCCAACGUGCGAGCUUAAGCGAUCUGGGCGCCAUUGUGCUGUUACGAAUCCAACAUGGCGUCGGUACAUAUAUAACCUUGGCGUAUUCCACGGGUUGUACCAGUGAUGAACCAGGGUCCACUCCAGAACGGGAGUUACGACAUCCGUAAACUAUUCCUCGACUUAGUCAUUAUGGGGGGGCUAGAUUAUUCCAAGUUCUAAGCCGAGUUGAGUUCUAAAUUCACGAUGGCGAUAUUCCUCGACCAUAACCCGGCAUGUUUAACUUGCGAUAAGCCUGCAUUAUGCCGAAGCAAAGUUGCUCUAAGCGCCAUUAUGCUUGGAAUUUAGAUUACAGCUCGACCAAUUUAGGUUAUGAACCAAUUUACCAAAAAUAACGGAGGAUAAAAAUUGUGGUGGAUUUUUGGAUUUUUUUUCCGAGAUUCGAAAGAAUUGGAAGAGAAUUGGAUGCGAUCUUGCGAGAUACUUUCAAUUGAAAAGAUCGAAAUGAGAAAUUUCAGAGGUUGUUUUGUAAUACGAGAAUAUAAAAGCAGCAGAACUGAGCUAAAUUGUUAUG
rnacentral:lncRNA from 1 species